CCUUGAACUUGUCUGGGUGGAUUUCUCAGUUUUCUCGCACUUUAGCUCCAUAAAUAAUUUUUUUUCACGAUGUCCAACUUUCCGCAGUUACUCCGAGCCGCGCCUGCGCCCUUCAGGCGGCUCUCUUGUGGCAGAGGCGCAAAAGGGAGCGUCAGUUUCAGUGUUAGUGGAAACUUCUUGCGCCUGCGCUCCUCAGCUGCGCUGUCAUCCAGCCCGGAGCACCGAAACAGACCCAGAACCCGGGCUACGCGGGCUACAGCCGCAGGGAGCCGGUCCGGAUCGGCUGUGCCUCCGGGUUCUGGGGGGACACGGCCACCUCAGUGCCUCAGCUGAUCCACAGCGGGAAGCUGGACUUUCUGGUGUUUGACUACCUCAGUGAGAUCACCAUGUCUCUGCUCACCGCUGCCAAAACCAAAAUGCCAAACCUCGGUUACGCUCCAGACUUUGUCCAGGUUGCUCUGGCUCCCUUCAUCAAUGACA